rnacentral:rRNA from 1 species
AUGCUCGUACUUUCUAGAUGGAGCUGGGAGCGCUUGCCGGUUGGACGGCCGAAGCAGGUGAAGUACGAGGCAUGGGACGACAAAGACGAGCCACUACGGUUCCCCACUUGGGCUUACAAGUGGGAUGUGUUAAAUGAGACGAUGGAUGAUCCCUAGCUCAUGUACAAGCAGUAG